AUACACAAUUCGUUCCACUUUAAUCACAAAUUAUACAUCAAAUACUUGACCCUUCUUAAGAACUUGUCAUGUCUUUUUUUCCAACUUGUAUUUAAUAGUUUUUUUUUAACGAAACUUGGAAAAAAGAGAGCGACACGCACACAUUCACAUGCAUUUUUUGCUUGUUCGGCAUUUUGUGUUAAUAUCUCAGCCGCUUUAAGGCGUUUUUUAUUGUUGUUUUUGCUGCUGCUUGGCGUUUUCUUCCUCUUUCCUUCAUUAUUUUGCCGCUGCUUAUACUUGUUGUAUUUGUCUUUGUUGUUUUUUCUUGGCUGUGAUUCGCACGUGUGAGUGUGAGUGAGUCAGUUGCUGGCCGAGUGUGUGUGUAUGUGUGAGUGCGAGGGAAUAGGUCGAUGUUUUCUUGCUCCAUCUCCCGCUCUUCCCCACCCCACGAUCAACAGUUUUUAUACAUACCUGUUUGCUUUGCUCCUCCACCUUCCUCUUUUUCUUGCGAUCGUCGCCUGUCUCUUUCUCUGUCUCCGCUCCGCUCCCUCUCCCUCGCUCCCUCACCCCAAACACUUUUGACCCGCUCUCUCGCUUCCGUGCACUUGCUGUGCUCUUUCUCUUACGUCGUUUGUCUUUCGCCCCACACUCACACACACACACACAUCCACCAUUCCCCAUUACGUUGUUUUUGCUUCUUUGCGCUUUUUUUGUUGUUGGAAGCAAUGCGGAAGUGAAUUUAAUUUAUUGUAUUUACGCUGCUUUUGCCGCUUUUCUGCCGCCGGCUGGUCACCAGGCCAAGUCUCUCGGGGGUGGGCGAAAAGGGGGCGGAGAAAGAGAGAACCAGGAAAGGAAAACCGCCAAGCAAAAUCGCAGCUUCUACAAGUUUUAUUUCGUUUCCCGCUAAUUGAAGAGAGAAACAGUUUAUUUUUUUUGAAAAGCAAAUUUUAAUACAUCCGUACUCACAGUCAUAACCAGAGGCUUAAUGGCAUCCCAGAGGCUGUAUCCGAACACAACAACUAUCCCACCCCCGCAGAAGCCGAUCUAAAGGGAAUCGCCCUCGUAACCACCCACAUAACAUUUCGUAAUUUUUCAGGAUUAGGUAAAUAAAGAGCCAGGAAGAUCCUUUUCGUUACACUUUUUCCUAAACUCAAUUGAAUUGUGUUCCUCUUGGAUUUCAUCUGAAAAGGAUAUUACGCAGAGAUCCUGUGCAAUGAUCCUCGACCUGAAUUCAAGACAUGGCCUAAUUGUUACACAUUCCCCUUGGGCAACAAUGGGUAAUUGUAAGAUUUUUGCCGCCAUCGCACGCAUUAAGGAUUUGCCCUAACAGUUGUGCGUCUGCAGGAUAUGAAAUGUGCACCCAGCAAAAAAAAAGAAGGAAAGAAGAAACCGUGGGAAACCUGCCCGAAUGUCUGGGUUCGGCUCGGAGUUAAGGAAGAGAGUGCCGAGAGAACAAUGGCCCGAAACGGAAAACUGAUCGAAUCGAAGAACCCCAGGUUCAAGUCUAAAACCGUCCAACGCUCAAAUAUCGAUCUCUGGCGACGUUUGCUUUGCUGGUCAGGAUUAUGGCAGCCCAGAAUCGUUCCAAUUUAGCGCCCAAACGAAGCGCAGCCGAGCAGAACGACCAAGUUGAUGGAGGGGCUGUACGGUAUCAGGAAGUUCGACUUCAGAUUACCCUAUACCGGUUAUGAAAUCUUACAAAUUAGCUAAUUAUAAAUCAAUAACUAUUUUUCCUUGGGUUGGAGGCACCACUUUUUUUAAGACAGCUUUUAUUAAAACAUCUAUAAGUCCUUCAUAAUAAUCUUUAGGAUUUGCUACAAUAUGGUCUUUUUAUAAAAGAAAGAAUUAGUUGCUCGAAUGGGGUUAUAUUCGAACCUGUGCCUCUUAGUUAUCUACAAAACUGAAUAUACCCCUUUACAGGUUAGACUACUGAAGGGUAUGGAAUCCCAAGUGUGCACUUAAGGGAUGAAAAAAGUGAUCGCAGAUCGAAGCAAUCCACAAGUGUCGGCAGGUUGAGGCACUCUUCGCCUUAUCAAUGUGUUGGUGCUUAUCGAAGAUAGUGUGCGUGUUGAGAGCACCUUACCACAAGAACGCAGUGCAAAUGACGGUGAAAGGUUUCGGGUUUCAUGUUUCCCGAUGGAUGUCGAAGUACCAACCAUAC